GAUAAUAAUUCUCACUUUUGCCAGAGAAACAUCAUCAUAGUGCUGACAACAUAAACAAAUGCAUGUGUGUCACUUACCACUUUUUAUGAGUACAGAAGCAAGUAACAAACUUUCCUAUCUUUGGGUUAACAACUCAACACCUUUCAAAUGAUGCUCCACAUUUCAAAUCAGAACUUCUAUGGUAAGGAAAAGAAUAUUGUUUUCACUUUGAUCAUGGAUAAGAGGCAACAAUCUAGAGAGACACACGAUCAUGCACUCAGGUGAUCUCAAUCGUUCGGGUAUAAUAAUUUUUAGAUUUAAUAUGUGUACAUUGAAAUUGUGUUUAUUUAACUCUUUAUAUCUCAAACUAUAGUUUUAGGAUAUGUUUGUGUUGGCAUUGAUUCUUGUUAUAUAAGUGAUAAUGUUAUGAGAUUUCAUUUGACAUGUUUGGUUUUGAUGCAUAUUAACUAUUUUAGUAGUAUAAUUCAUAGAGAGAUUGAAUUUGGUUAUUAUAUGAAAAUUUUAAUUUGAUGAAUAUAUAAUAUCAAGAGGAUUAUUUGGUCGUCAA